UGAAGAUCCUUCAAGAGUUGUUGC
rnacentral:siRNA from 1 species